CACUUGCAGAGAUUGGAGUGAUGGCCACAGUGGAAGCAAGGCAGCUUGCAGGCACCUAAAACUCAGGAAACAGAUCCCCACCAAGUGGAUCUGCCAGCACAGCAGAGCUCAGAAAAAGUGCAUCUCUUGUCUUAACCUGAUCCUGACCCUGAGUACUGCACCUCCUAAGUGGAGACUUAUGGAAACAGCAAGAGGCUCCUGACCAUGAUGAGAAACAGGUUAAAUCAUUUGGAAAUGAGAGCAUGGACAGAAUGAACAAUGUUUUGAGUGAGAGAAGGGGAAAGAUUUAAUUCUUUCUUACAAAAAUGUAUGAAAUUUUUCCUUUAUUGGCUAGCACUAGACAUUUUCUGAAAGGAGGGAUUAAAUUUUAUUGAAGACCACUUUUUUUAAAUAAACUACUUAAUGUGAAGAUAAAACUCUGAAUAUCUACAUUAUUAGUAACCAUGAUGAUUUUCUUAAAAAGACAAUUAAACAGGUUUUUCAAUCAGAAAUACAAAAUAAUAGAGGAGGAAAAAUCUGAUAAGAGAACAGGAGAGGCAUCAUUUUGGGAACAGGAAUUGCCAAUGCCUACGUUGUUUGCAUAUGAAAUGUAGAUUCUUCCAUCUUCCUAAACUUUCCAGUGAAGUCCACAUAAAUGCCUAUGUGAGUAGGUUUUGUCUUAUUUUUGUGUUGUGCAAAUUAGAAAAGGGUACAUAUUUUCUGCCAGUGACAAUAACAGCAAGAAAAUGAGAGAAUUCCUCAAUUGAACUAAUUCAGCAAAAGCAAGAGCUCCAAGUCAGAGAAGGAUAUGAUAAUACUGGUUCGUUUAGAGUUCUCAGGAAUCUCAUAAAAGGCCUUGGGCUUUCCAAUAUUUUAAAAAGUUGAAUCCAUUCUUCCCUGACUCAAGGUCUCUGUGGCUACAGCUGAUGUGUAGUCAAGCCAUUACCAUGGCUUCUCAGCAUAAAUAGAAAAUACUAACACUUUAUGGUCUCAAAAUUUUGUAGACUCUGAACUUUCUUGUAUGUGAUUAUGCAGAAUUUCUUAAAUGUUUCUUAAUCAGCCAGUAAAAUAGUCACCUUUCUUCCAAAGUUAAGAAAAGUUACCAAAACUUGGCAAUAAGAAAUAAGGCAAUUAAGUAAGUGGCAUGUCUUUUCAAUGUCAUAUGGGGAAAAAAGCCCACUUAAGGACUGUCUAAGAUAAUGCACUUUCUUCUACUCAUUGUUUACUCUUCUUCAGAAUUCCUGAACUUAAAGAAGUUACAUGUAAGUAGUUGGAUUUUUGUUCAUUUUGUAAAAACACAAAAACAGUCUGUCUGGCAGAAAGAAAGAUAACAACAAAGUUUACAAUUUAGUGAACUGGAAGAUAUUAGUUACUCUCUUCAAUCUUGUUGAAUUGGUCUAAACAUCUUUUUGUUUUUUUCAUUAAUUAAUGAAUUAAAUAAAACUUUUGACAUAUGUUCAUUACAAAAACAAUUAAAAAUUAUUUGUUGAACUCAAUAUCUGAAUUAGCUUAAAAUCAGAAUGGAGAUGACAGGGAGGAAUUAGCAAUCUUAAAGAUGGAUCAGUAGAAAUUAUCCAAGCUGAACAACAGACAGAGGAAAGAUAAACAAAACAAAAUAAUGCUCAAGGACCUGUGGGAGGCUACUAAAAGGUAAAACAUUUGUGUCAUUG
rnacentral:lncRNA from 1 species